rnacentral:rRNA from 1 species
UACGGGGGGUGCGAGCGUUGUCCGGAAUCACUGGGCGUAAAGGGCGCGUAGGUGGUUUGAUAAGGGUGUGGUGAAAGCCCGGGGCUCAACCCCGGGUCUGCCGUGCCGACUGUCAAACUCGAGGGCUGUAGAGGCAGACGGAAUUCCGGGUGUAGCGGUGGAAUGCGUAGGGAUCCGGAGGAAGACCGGUGGCGAAGGCGGUCUGCUGGGCAGUUUCUGACACUGAUGCGCGACAGCGUGGGGAGCAAACAGG